AUUGAACGCUGGCGGCAUGCUUUACACAUGCAAGUCGAACGGUAACAGCACUUCGGUGGCUGACGAGUGGCGAACGGGUGAGUAAUACAUCGGAACGUGCCUAGUAGUGGGGGCUAACUACUCGAAAGAGUAGCUAAUACCGCAUGAGAUCUAAGGAUGAAAGCAGGGGACCUUCGGGCCUUGCGCUACUAGAGCGGCUGAUGGCAGAUUAGGUAGUUGGUGGGAUAAAAGCUUACCAAGCCGACGAUCUGUAGCUGGUCUGAGAGGACGACCAGCCACACUGGGACUGAGGCACGGCCCAGACUCCUACGGGAGGCAGCAGUGGGGAAUUUUGGACAAUGGGCGCAAGCCUGAUCCAGCAAUGCCGCGUGCAGGAUGAAGGCCUUCGGGUUGUAAACUGCUUUUGUACGGAACGAAAAGCCCUCUUCUAAUACAGGAGGGUCAUGACGGUACCGUAAGAAUAAGCACCGGCUAACUACGUG
rnacentral:rRNA from 1 species